CAGCUCCUUGGGAAGACCAGAUUGAGGAGUUCAAAGUUCAAAGUACAUUUACUAUCAAAGUGUGUAGACAUUGUACAACCUUGAGAUCUGUCUGCUAACAGGCAACCAGAAAACAAAGAACACCCCCCCAAAUAAAACCUUAAAAAAGACCAUGAAACCCCCAAGGUGCAGAGAAAAAAAAUCAAAUCAUGCAACUAUAAGUUCAAGCAAGCAAGUAGCAUUCUGAACUCAAGUCCACAAAGACAGUCUUGCCCGUAGACACUUAGCUCAGUGCAGAGCAGAGCAGUCUGAACCAGUCCGUCACUUGCUUUGGGCUCGGACUCCCUGACCUUUCCAACCUGACCCAGUGCUGAAAUCAUCCAAACACUGGGCUCUGGACCUUGGGCCCUACUGCCUUGAUCCGGCCUGUGCCUAACAAUGUGUGUUGGUUGAAUUUCCAGCACCUGCAGACUUUCUUUUGUUAAACAUUUCUGAUGUGACCCAGUGCUUAAAUCUUUGUCCAAACUUCGGUUCAGUUGCUUCGAUACGCUCUGGGGCUUGGACCCUGCCGCCACGAUUCGGCCCGUCCCCAACCCUCCCAAUUCACUUAGUACUUAAACCGAUCAAACCUUGGGUCUUCCUCACUCUCGACAGGCCUGCUGCCUCGUCUCGCCUCCGUUCUGCUACAUUGAAUUACCAAGUCCAAAGCCACCAGCCAGAAGUCGCUGAUAUUCACCAGUGCCAUCUUAAACUGAGGUGUUCAAACACAAGAAAACCAGAUACAGGAACAGGCUGAGCAGUGCCAAAGACAGGAGUGGAGGGCACGAUGAGGGCAUAUAGAGGUGGGGUGUAGAGAUGUUGCUUGCUGCUCGAGUGCAGACCCUACUCUCUCCUUUGUUAUUAGGGCCGCAAAGAGAAGAGCCAGCAGGGCCAUCACAGAGCCUGCUGAGCGAGCCUCCAGUUGGCUAUGGAUCAAGAGGUGUGACUGGUGAGUGCUGCUGGGACACAAACCAAGGCCUGAUCAACCCUGGCUGGGUCGCCUGGGCAAUGGUCUCUAAUGUUGAAAGACCUAAAACUCCUGAUGACCGCAAGUUAAAUCACAGAUGAUGUGUCCCAGCACAUCCUCGGAUGUACCUCAGCAUCAUGGACGGGCCAUCAACCAUGCAUUUACUCUAAUCCUACAUAAUCCUAUUUUUAAAAUUCUCCUUCACUUACCGACACAUUAAGGGCAAUUUACAGAGGACAAUUAACUCACCACUCAGCACUUCAUUGGGAUAAACCAGAGGAAAGCUUUGCCAUCACAGGGAGACAUACACCCUGGAUUUCUGGCACUGUGGAGACCGUGACUGCACUAUGUCACUUUUACUUACAGUGGACAUGAGGCUCAUCAGCACUUCCCUCGAUUUAUCUGCCACCUGCCUACACCUGGGGUAACCUACAGCAGGCAAAGGACACACCUAUAGGGUGCAGGUGAAACCUAUGUUGUCACAGAGAGCACAUGUGGAGGUCAGCAUUGGAUGCAGACCGAUGGAGCUAUGAGACAAUCAAAAUGCAGUGAUCUUCUUGAACUGGUUGGUUUGGAUUUGUCCCAAGUGGAUUUGGAGUGAGAGGCAAUGGCCAAGUGAACCUGAAGAGGAUUCUACUGCACUGAAACACUGGGCUCCUCUCCCUCUGCCAGAUAAACGCUGAGCUAAUUGAAUUGCGUGGAAGAGUUUAAAGUCCUUGAAAUGGUACAUAGUCUGUAAUUAGACAGGAUCUGUCAGGAAGAAAUAGCAUGCAUGGCAAAGAAAGUCUAAAUUCGUAGAAAAGCCAUGUUCACACUCACGAGAAGCUAUCAAAAUAACAAUUGUCUGUAUAAACAAAACAUUGUGAAAAUGCCAUGAAGGAAGAAGAAUAAAUUUGACAGGGUUCAAAUAUACAAGUCUGUGCAAAUUCAAGGAAAUUGCUGACAAUUUUUUUUUCAGCUUUGUUAAUUAAGAGCGAUUUUUUUCCGUGAACAAUGAGACGUGAUCCAAAAUUACUUUAAGAUAAAUUACUUGAAAGCCAUUAAUGCAAAAACAACCUAAGUAGAUAUAUUAAAUUCCUAGAAAGCACGUCAGUAUGGUUGGAGAUGCUAAGCAGAUUACUACAGAUCUAUUUUACUUAGAAAAUGAUGACCUAAUUUGAUGAUUGAAUUCUCUCUCUGCCUUUCUCCAAAAGCAGUAAUACUCAAGUGCAUUAGAAAAAGAAGACUAUUCCCACAGGGUCAAUGUGCACAGUCUAUUAGUGCAGCAACAGCCUUUUCCCUUCAUUUGAUUGAUUAUAAACCAUGAGGCAAUCUUUACAGUUGUGUCCUUUAGCCAUUCCUGCAGCAUGCUGUUUAUUAAACCAUAUUUGAAAUCUAAAUAAUGUUGACGAGAAUGAUUUAUGUAAACCCUGUGACUUUUACGACUGUGAGCGUGAUGAAGGAUUACGCAGUGCAAUGAUACGAGUAUUUGCAGCCUGUAUAAUUUGCUGAAUAGUGAGACCAUCACUAAUGUAUAUGUACCUGAGCAUUUUCACAGUGUGUCAUUGUCUAUUGUCAUGUCAAGCCAAGUCAAGUUUAUUGUCACUUAUGAAACUAUAUACAUGUAUAUAAUGAUUAUAACCAUUUAAUGUAUAUAGAAAUGAAACAAUGUUUCUCUGAAGCAGGGUGCAAAGCACAGUAGUACACAUAACACACAGUAAGUUAUGAAAAUAAGGAUAAAAUCUAGAGAGGUAUUACAAAUAAGUAAUGAACGAAAGUGCAUAAAUUUAUACUGCAAGGUACAGAACAGAUUAACCUGUGACACUUUGAAUAUGAUGCGGCAGAGAGUUUAGAAGCCUAAUGGCCUGAGGGAAGUAGUCACUUCACAUCCUGACUGUUCUUGUUUUUAUUCAUCGGAGUCUCCUGGUAAAUUGUGGAUUUUAAGACCUAAUAUUUACAAACUUCCUUCUGUUCUCACCGGAUACAUCAGUGCUGUAUCCUCAUUGACAGACCUCAAUCAGCGUGGAUUGAUAACGGCAUCUCCUCACUGACCACCCACAGAGGUACACUUUACAGUUUCACAUUCAGUCUGCUGCUCGACUUGUGGACAACAUAUACUCAGUAGCCUCUUUAUUAGGUACAGGAGGAACCUACUUUGUGUUACUCUUUUGAAUGUUGUGUCUCUGAUACCGUGGGCCAAUGAUGCUGCUGCAGGUAAGUUUUCUCAUUGGACCCGUGCAUACUUGGACUUGUACACAUGACAGUAAGUUUGGCUUGACUGAUAUCGUCAGCACUGGAAUUGAAUCUUGGCUGUUCCACCCAAAGGAGGUGGCAUGCUCCAUGAUUGACUCACUCCCCACUUGUCCCAGGCUGGUUAUCAUUUGUUCUGCAGUCACGUUCACGAUAUGACAUGUUUCUGGUUCCUGGUAACUACUAUUUGGUUACUUCUUGGGCGAUUUUCAUUGGGGUGGCCUGCAGAUCCGAGCUGAAUAUGCCUGGAUUCUUUCGAUGUUGUGGUUUAUAUUCCUUGUUUUUUGCUCCUUUGUUUUGCUGUUGGUGCAAUGUGUUUUUUUCUGGCUGGGGGGCGGGUUGAUAUUUUUCUUUGUUUUUUUUUCAGGAUUUUCUUUGUUUCAUGGCUUUCUGUGGGAAGACAAAUUACACAGCUGUAUACUGGAGACAUACUUUCAUAAUAAAUGUACUCCGAAUCUUUGAAUCAAAAGACAGGCACUUUCAGCUCUACGGCUCCUACAAGAGUAGCAUAGGCAAGGAGGAGAGAAUUUGGGGAAGGAAAGGGGUGGGAAGUUGUCAAAGUGGCAUGAUCAGGUGGGACAGCAAGGAGGAGCAUUUCCAUGUUAACUGCCAAAUCAAUGUCCUGCUACCAGACAGAAAAUCCAUUUGAAACUCCAGGAACUGAGAUCAGUAAGCAUCACUGUGGGUGAACUGAAAAGAGGUGUUAACUGCCUGCACAUGAUAAGAAGUCAGAGAACAGGAAGAAAACAUACCUGGGCUAUUUUCAGUCAGAUCCUCCCUGUUGUACAAUGGGAUCAAACUUUGGGUACAAGUAGCCUGUUGGACUUUUCUACUGAUAUGUAGUAUAAAACAUGAAGUUAGUGGUUAUUGAAAAAAAUAACAAAUUCAUUUUUUGUUUAAACAUUGUACAAAGAACAAAUCUCACUGGGUUAAUAAUUUAGAAAAAAGCUUGAUUUUAUAAGUAAUUUAUAGGUGCAGUUGAGCUCCAAAAACACAAUUAAUCAGAGUAUUAGAACCUUAAAAUAGGAUUUAUGUGUCUUUGAGUUGUUGAUAAACAGUUUUAUACAAAUUACGUAAUUGUUUCCCUCCUGUGCGUCACUUCGCAAUUCAGAGAAUAGCUAUGAUAUAAUUGAUUAUAAUUCGAUUUUCUUUCUAUAUUACUGUAAAUGCAGUAGUGCAAAAACAUUAAUAAAUACUAUUUAUUUAACCUUAGCAGGAGAAUAAGUCACCAUUCAAGCCGAAAGGGUAAGGUCUUUAGUGGUGAUUCAAGUAUAAUUUUCAAGUAUAAUUUCAAAUAUAAUUCAAGUAUAAUUUUCCUCCAAUUUUAUAUACAUACUGUAGAAGAGGAUUUUCAUUACUUGGCAAAUUUAAAACAAAGUGGUUUUAAAGAACCAUGAGCUAUUAGGAACAUAGACCUAACCACCUAUGCUAAGUAAAAAAUUAAAGAAUUCUUCAUUUGCAUGCGCAGUGGGAAUCAGAUUAAGUUUUAAUAUCACCAGCAUAACAACUUGAGAUGGUUUAUCAUUAAUAAACUCAAUGCUCAGUUCUUAGUGUUUGAUGGAGUAAUUAACAGCAUAUCUGUUUGUUGUUGGAUUAAUCCAAUGAAGAGACAUCCUGAACCAGAAGGCAAAUUGAGGAUAAUAUUUCUAUUGAUUAUUAAGAUAGUAAAUAAAGUUCUUAUUUAACAGUUUGUUAAAAGAGCAGAGAGAAAGGUUGGAAAAAUGUAAUCAAGUCAGUUAAUAGCAUGCAAAAUGGGAGAAAUCAGAUACAUUAAUUCUUUGAUUUAUGAAAAAUACAUCUUCCUAGAAAAUAAUUAUAUAAUCAAAAUUCAUGGAUCAAUAAUUAGUUGAACUUAUGAAUAUGGUAUUUUGAUGUAAUAUGUUCUUAGAUGUGGAGAAAGGUAUGUUAUUCAUUAGAGUGUAAAAACUAUUGCUGUUUUAUCAAUGACCUUACCUCCAAUGAUAAUGUCAAAAUAUGGAUGUUUGCUGAUGUUUGCAGGCUGUAUCAGUUCCAUUAACGUCUGCACAUUUAGUGAAGCCACCAUCUGGCAAGAUGAGAAUUGGGCUCAGAUUUGGGAGAUUAGGAGCUAAUUAGCAUUGAUGUUGUAUGAGCGCCAAUCAGUGACUGCAGAAAACAGAAAGAAUCUAAAUACUUCCUUUAUGACAGUUCAAGAUAUUUCAAUUGCCAUAUCUCAUCAUUAACAUGAUGAAGUUGUUCACCGACUAAAAACUUGACCAACCAUAGAAAUACUGCGAGAUGAACUGUAUAUCAGAGGCUUGCAUAUUUUGAUGAACAGGCCACUUCUAGAUUCCCAAAGGGGUUUCCUCCAUGAAGGAACCGGCUAAGCCUUUGCCAGUUAUCAUCAACAUCAUUAUAUGCUGUGUUGUAUGACAUCGGCGAUUAUGGUCUUCCAGCUGUCUCUAUCCAUGACCAUAAUUGUUCUUGGCAAAUUUUCCACAGAAGUGGUUUGCCAUUGCCGGGUGGCCCCAGACAUUAUCAAUACUCUUCAGAGAUUGCCUGCCUGGUGUCAGUGGUCACGUAACCAGGACUUGUGAUGUGCACCGGCUGCCCAUACAAUCAUCCACCAGCUGCUCCCAUGGCUUCAUGUGACCCUGAUCUGGGGAGGAGGGGGAGCAGCAAGCAGUUUCUGCACCUUGCCCAAGGGCGACCUGCAGGCUAGCGGAAGGAAGGAGCGCCUUACACCUCCUUUGGGAGCGAUGUACAGUAUAUCCACCCUGCUGCCCAACUUUAUCAAUACCUCUCCUAAAGCUGCCUAGAAGGACUAGAUGGAUACACUGAAUUUCUCUUGAAGACACUUAACACACAUGGAAUUCCCUGAUUACCACUGGGUUAAAAUCCUGGAAAUCUCUUCAACAAUAUCAUGUACGUUCUCUCAAAACAAGGCCUCAAGCAUUUCAAGAAGCUAGUUAUGUAUUAUCAGUGUAAUCUUAUUUUGCCAACAGUACUCACAGUCAACAACAUAAAGGAACUAACUGAUCAGCAUUAUAACUACUAGCAUUUUAAUUUGCUUUUAAGUGAUGCUAUUUAAUAGGAAUAAAAAACAGGUCAGCUAAACAGAAAAUUGAAAGAAAAGUUUUAUACCAAGACAUCUACAAACAUGUAUUUUUAAUAUUGGUACUUUUGAAUGCAAUAUAAUAUUCUGUAAAUGUGGGCAUGUUUGAUUUUCAUGGGUAAAUGAAAAGAAAGCAUGGUUUUGAUCCAGUAUGAGUGAAUAUACCUAUGUUGUUAACUUAGCAUUUAAAUUUGGCUCUGUUUUCAAAUGCUUGAAUGUAAGAACACAGAGGUAAGCACCUGCUGCAAAUGUACCAACAUCGUAUGAGCUUGUGAAUUGUAGCUGGUGUGAUGAAUAGAUGUCAUUGACUCAGGCAACAUUUGUGAAGGGCAAAUGCUUUCAGAGAUGAACUUACAAUGAACAGACAUUAAAUGAAAUUGCACUUAUGAUAAGAAUUUCUAAAUGUCACUUUUUAUUUCUCCUGUAUCAGAACAGAAAAUAAUUUUGCAGGAUUUGGUCCAUUAGAAACUUCUAAAAGCAUCUCAUCUAUCAAAAGAAAUCCUGUUUACUUUCCAUCAUAUAUUACUAAGUGGAGAAACCUCUUCAUGCUGCUAGAUGGAUAAGGGAAGACAGAUUGAAUUGGCUGACUUUUUCAUAUCUUCCUUGUAAUCCUGCAAUAAGAUGCAAAAGAUAUUACUUUAUCCUUAAACGUUUAAAUACCCUUUGAAGGAUCAUUCCUUGCAUAACUUUGCUAAGGUUUUCUAGGUAGUAAAUAUAUGGCUAAGAGCCACAUAUUCCCCAAGCAUUAACAGCCAUUUAUAUAUUAAGUGUUAAUUGAUCCACCACCAUUUGAAUCAUAAAGAUUUCAGUGAGAUACAAAUUGAACUGGCAGGGACUAGGAGUCUAAUCAUUAAAUAGCUCAUG